rnacentral:rRNA from 1 species
CCCUUAGAUGUUCUGGGCCGCACGCGCGCUACACUGAUGCAUUCAACGAGUUUCUUCCUGGUCCGAGAGGAAUGGGUAACCUUUUGAAAGUGCAUCGUGAUAGGGAUAGACUAUUGCAAUUAGUGGUCUUCAACGAGGAAUUCCUAGUAGACGUAGUUCAUCAGACUGCAUCGAUUACGUCCCUGCCCUUUGUACACACCGCCCGUCGCUCCUACCGAUUGAAUGCUCAGGUGAGCCAUUCGGACUUUCAUCAUGCUGGUUUCCAGUUUUGAUGAAGGAAAGUCUUGCGAACCUUAUCAUUUAGAGGAAGGAGAAGUCGUAACA